rnacentral:rRNA from 1 species
UGGGGUGUCUAUAGAGCAGGUGAAACACCGGAUCCCAUUCCGAACUCCGAAGUUAAGCCCUGCAUCGGUGAUGGUACUGCAGAGGAGACUUUGUGGGAGAGUAGCGCGAUGCCCCUU